rnacentral:rRNA from 1 species
GACGAACGCCGGCGGCGUGCCUAAUACAUGCAAGUUGAGCGCUGAAGGUUGGUACUUGUACCAACUGGAUGAGCAGCGAACGGGUGAGUAACGCGUGGGGAAUCUGCCUUUGAGCGGGGGACAACAUUUGGAAACGAAUGCUAAUACCGCAUAAAAACUUUAAACACAAGUUUUAAGUUUGAAAGAUGCAAUUGCAUCACUCAAAGAUGAUCCCGCGUUGUAUUAGCUAGUUGGUGAGGUAAAGGCUCACCAAGGCGAUGAUACAUAGCCGACCUGAGAGGGUGAUCGGCCACAUUGGGACUGAGACACGGCCCAAACUCCUACGGGAGGCAGCAGUAGGGAAUCUUCGGCAAUGGACGAAAGUCUGACCGAGCAACGCCGCGUGAGUGAAGAAGGUUUUCGGAUCGUAAAACUCUGUUGGUAGAGAAGAACGUUGGUGAGAGUGGAAAGCUCAUCAAGUGACGGUAACUACCCAGAAAGGGACGGCUAACUAC